UACUGCAUUGCUAACUGAUUGCUUUUCCUAAAAGUCUUUUUAGUGCAAUGCAUCUGGGCAUUCGUGGAUGCUCCGGUCCGAUGAUGCUACUGAUUGCGUCCUCUCUGCUCCACAGCUCAAGGAGAUCGUAGACAGACUUGGGGAGGUUCAGAAGGAAGGUUUCGGUCUCAUCUGCCUCUGGGCUGCCAGGCUGAGCUGAUGCUUGCUAACAGAGAGGGGCUCAACACCCUCUCCUUGAGAGCUUAUGUGCAAUGAAGCACACAUGGAAAGCGAGGAGGCCGGCUUUGCGGUCGGCUCUUCGGAGACCCACCUGAGCCACUCAGUCUGCUGUUUCACAGGCUGGAGGAGCUGUUUCUGAAACUUGGUGUUCCAGUUCAAGCUGCGUGGGAGGUCUGAGGUUUCUCCAUGGCUCUCCAAUGGCCACAACAUCUGCAUUAACACCUCCCUUCCUCCGGAAAUGCCUCUCAGAAAAUCUAUUUGCUGGAAAGGCACGUUGCGUUUGGCAAAUGCAAGACAACAGGAAGCUGAAGGAAAAGAAAGGAAGCGAAGGACAGAUGUGGAUGUGAUUCUUCCUGAAGGAAGCAAAACUGACAAAGGGCACGUCUAGGAGUGUAACCCUUUGCCUAACAGCCUCCGGGGACCCCCUGGAUUCUUGUCCUUGGGAAAGGGCAAAGGGAGAAGCCCCAGCCAGGAACCGGGUGUGAGCAAGAUGGCUAGGGCAGCCCUCCAGGCCAGGAGAACCCCUGUUUGCUGGUGCGGGUGAUUCUUGUCCAUUUUAUAAGGUAGAU
rnacentral:lncRNA from 1 species